GCUCUCUUCACGAACCCACACGAACCAGACCAACGUACCCACGGCGUCGACCACGAAACCAACAAACCCACGCCGCCGUCGACCACCCACGAACCCAACCCCACGAACCAAACCCACGAACCCAAUCGACGAACCGAGGAGAAACUGCCGUCACCACCACGAGGAGAAACUGCCGUCGCCACCACGAGGAGAAACCGCCGUCACCACCCACGAGCAAAAACCGUCGCCUACACCACGAAAUUCAGUCAAAGAUGGCUCCCAGACUCAUUAUUCCAGCACCCGAGCAUUUCACUGGCCGCGUCACAUAUAGGGGCACUGGAAUUUUUGCAAAAAUUAAAGCUCGGUUUGAGGAGUUCAACCUUAAUAACACGGCGAAGGAAAGCCGUUUCGGGAGCUUCUGGAAUGCCGUACCACUGACAUUCUCCUCGGUGUUAU